rnacentral:rRNA from 1 species
AAUGAACGCUGACGGCAGGCCUAACACAUGCAAGUCGAGCGAGCGGCGGACGGGUGAGUAAUGUAUGGGGACUGCCCGAUAGAGGGGGAUAACUACUGGAAACGGUAGCUAAUACAGCAUACUAUCGGAUAAUCCAUAUGGGAUUAGCUAGUUGGUCAGGUAAUGGCUCACCAAGGCGACGAUUCCUAGCUGGUCUGAGAGGAUGAUCAGCCACACGGUGACUGAGACACGGCCCAGACUCCUACGGAGGCAGCAGGGGGGAAUAUUGCACAAUGGGCGCAAGCCUGAUGCAGCCAUGCCGCGUGUAUGAAGAAGGCCCUAGGGUUGUAAAGUACUUUCAGUCGGGAGGCGUUACCGACAGAAGAAGCACCGGCUAACUCCGUGCCAGCCGCCGCGGUAAUAC